rnacentral:rRNA from 1 species
CUACGGGACGCAGCAGUAAGGAAUAUUGGUCAAUGGACGCAAGUCUGAACCAGCCAUGCCGCGUGAAGGAUUAAGGUCCUCUGGAUUGUAAACUUCUUUUAUAUGGGACGAAAAAAGGUCUUUCUAGACCCCUUGACGGUACCAUAUGAAUAAGCACCGGCUAACUCCGUGCCAGCAGCCGCGGUAAUACGGAGGGUGCAAGCGUUAUCCGGAUUCACUGGGUUUAAAGGGUGCGUAGGCGGGUAGGUAAGUCAGUGGUGAAAUCCUGGAGCUCAACUCCAGAACUGCCAUUGAUACUAUCUAUCUUGAAUAUUGUGGAGGUAAGCGGAAUAUGUCAUGUAGCGGUGAAAUGCUUAGAUAUGACAUAGAACACCCAUUGCGAAGGCAGCUUACUACGCAUAUAUUGACGCAGAGGCACGAAAGCGUGGGGAUCAAACAGGAUUAGAUACCCGAGUAGUC